rnacentral:snoRNA from 14 species
AAAAGACCUUCUGAUAUGAUAUGCCUGUCUCUUUGAACCUUUCACAGUGCCUUCUGGUUGCACACCAUGCUUCUGAACCAUUGUAUGGCCUCUAUACUGGUAGGAUGCUGGCCCUGAAGUGAGCCACACAAGG